rnacentral:rRNA from 1 species
GACGAACGCUGGCGGCGUGCUUAACACAUGCAAGUCGAACGGAAAGGCCCUGCUUUUGUGGGGUGCUCGAGUGGCGAACGGGUGAGUAACACGUGAGUAACCUGCCCUUGACUUUGGGAUAACUUCAGGAAACUGGGGCUAAUACCGGAUAGGAGCUCCUGCUGCAUGGUGGGGGUUGGAAAGUUUCGGCGGUUGGGGAUGGACUCGCGGCUUAUCAGCUUGUUGGUGGGGUAGUGGCUUACCAAGGCUUUGACGGGUAGCCGGCCUGAGAGGGUGACCGGCCACAUUGGGACUGAGGUACGGCCCAGACUCAUACGGGGGGCAGCAGUGGGGAAUAGUGCACAAUGGGCGGAAGCCGUAUGCAGCAACGCCGCGUGCUGGAUGACGGCCGUCGGGUUGUAAACCGCUUUCGCCUGUGACGAAGCGUGAGUGACGGUAAUGUGUAAAGAAGCACCGGCUAACUACGUG